GACGAACGCUGGCGGCAGGCUUAACACAUGCAAGUCGAGCGGGGUGAUGGUGCUUGCACUAUCACUUAGCGGCGGACGGGUGAGUAAUGCUUAGGAAUCUGCCUAUUAGUGGGGGACAACAUCUCGAAAGGGAUGCUAAUACCGCAUACGUCCUACGGGAGAAAGCAGGGGAUCACUUGUGACCUUGCGCUAAUAGAUGAGCCUAAGUCGGAUUAGCUAGUUGGUGGGGUAAAGGCCUACCAAGGCGACGAUCUGUAGCGGGUCUGAGAGGAUGAUCCGCCACACUGGGACUGAGACACGGCCCAGACUCCUGCGGGAGGCAGCAGUGGGGAAUAUUGGACAAUGGGGGGAACCCUGAUCCAGCCAUGCCGCGUGUGUGAAGAAGGCCUUAUGGUUGUAAAGCACUUUAAGCGAGGAGGAGGCUCUUUUGGUUAAUACCCAAGAUGAGUGGACGUUACUCGCAGAAUAAGCACCGGCUAACUCUGUGCCAGCCGCCGCGGUAA
rnacentral:rRNA from 1 species